rnacentral:lncRNA from 1 species
GAGACAACAGGGCUCCUAGCAUUUUGUGAUGAAGGGAAUCAUCAUGCAUGUGAGAACUGUUCCCAGAGGCAUUCCUCUCAUCUUGGAACUAAAGCUGUUCCCUAACUCUACACAUACUCUGCCAACAUCCAACACAGGUAGAGAGGCCCAGAUCACAUCAAUCCUACCCCAAACACAGCUUCAGCAGCCUCUGAACCAGGUAUAACAGAUAACCUAGCACCAGCACCUUAAGCCUCCACCAACCCAGCACCUCCAAGGCCUGCUGAGCCUAGGUCAGGAGUCAUCCUGCCCAUCUACCACCAGCCAAGUACACACUUCCACCAAAACUCAAAGGCACACUGCAGAAAAGCCUCAUUAAUUUUUCACAAGAUUUAUCUAAUAGUGGCUGAGCAGAGCUGAGAAAGCCACAUUCAAGUGCCUGUGCCAACAGCUUGCAAAGAGUUAACCCAUUAGGCCACAUCCUGGUGAGCUCAUCCCUGCCGCUGGAGCCUGCUCAGUGGCUAGGAUUUGCAGCACACUGACUCUGGAUGUGGCCAGGGUGGCUUUCUCCAGCUGGGAUGCAGGACUUGAGCAGAAAUUCAUUGCCACCUUCUUCCCUGCGCGAGUGCCGACUGAGUCCCAGGUUCCCCGUCUUCCCCCGGGACACUGUGCACACCUGCAGAUCUUCCACACCAAGCCAUCGGCUGGAGGAUGAAUGUGUGAGGAAAAAGCCCAAACUUCCCUUUCACCAGUUUUCUCCCGUCUCACAGAGGUAUCACUAUGUUCCUCCAGGUACAUAGACUCCCCUGAGCGUCUUCUAAUUGCUUUCCCCAUACCUGCUCUGCACUGUUCUGAGCUUUGUCAGCUUAGCUGCUUCUUAGCUACUUCUAGAACAUCAUAGAAAUGGGAGUGUACAGUAUUUGUGCUCUUUAGUUACUGAUUUCUGUCUCCAGUAU